AACGAACGCUGGCGGCAUGCCUAACACAUGCAAGUCGAACGAGACCUUCGGGUCUAGUGGCGCACGGGUGCGUAACGCGUGGGAACGUGCCCUUAGGUUAGGAAUAACUCCCCGAAAGGGGUGCUAAUACCGGAUAAUGUCUUCGGACCAAAGAUUUAUCGCCUUUGGAUGGGCCCGCGUUGGAUUAGCUAGUUGGUAGGGUAAAAGCCUACCAAGGCGACGAUCCAUAGCUGGUCUGAGAGGAUGAUCAGCCACACUGGGACUGAGACACGGCCCAGACUCCUACGGGAGGCAGCAGUGGGGAAUAUUGGACAAUGGGCGAAAGCCUGAUCCAGCAAUGCCGCGUGAGUGAUGAAGGCCUUAGAGUUGUAAAGCUCUUUUACCCGCGAUGAUAAUGACAGUACCGGGAGAAUAAGCUCCGGCUAACUCCGUG
rnacentral:rRNA from 1 species